AAUCGGGUCUACCCGCGCUGAUGACGCUAAUCCUAAUCUACGCGCAAGACGCACUUCAGUUUUAUCGUGGGUAGGUGCAUGUGCAGAUCUCUCGGCUCUCCAUGUUUUGUUGGUUUUAAUUCGGUAAAUCGCGUUUUAUUCAAUUACCAAUCGACGGAUUUUAGUGGCGUUUAGCGUGUGAUAUUUUUGGCAGGUGACAUACGUUCGCAAAACAUUGCAGUGUGGUGUCUGUGUCAUCUAUGCCACUCAGCGAGGAGACUAUUUCUGUUUUAUCACAGCAUUUUGAGCAUUCUGCGUUAAAUAUACGUCCGAGAAUCGUCUUCUAACCCGGCUAACAUUUGAGGUAUCCACCUUGUCCAUUUUCCAGUCAUCUGCGUUUUCACUGCGAAAAUAGAACUUGGAGCGUAAAGUACCCACUAAUACAUACUGCAGUGGAACAUACAAACGAGAAUCGCCUGACAUUCGAUGUGAUAUCUCCGGCUUCGCUGCGACAUCAACGAAACGGACACCAAAGGGACGGCCUAUUGCGUGGAGUGCAGGGAUUUUGCACCUGAGUCUGACAUCGUAGAAGGACCAUUCUUGCAUCAAAUUUUACGGAUUUUGCACCUGAGUCUGACAUCGUAGAAGGACCAUUUUUACAUCAGAUAGACUAAUUUUUGAUGGUUUUGGGGAUUUUGCACCUGAGUCUGACAUUGUAGAUGGACCAUUCCUGCAACAGAUUAUAAGUGUAUAGCAGGCGAACAAAUUGUCCUAGGACCACGAUUCUUUCAUCAGAUUGUGUAUAGCAUUCGAACGAAUUGUUCGAGGACCACGAUUCUUUCAUCAGAUUGUAAGUAUUGAAUCUGUUUAUUAUUUUCAUAAAUAAUUGGUGGGAUUCGCACAGGGAAAUCUACAAAAAUGUCAUUUUUGUGCUUCGACGUGCUAAUUUUUGUUUGUUUUAGGUGUA